UCCGCGGUCUGUACGGAGCAACGAAGGUUUCAUUUCCGCUAAAACCCUCAGUCCUCUCGCUACUCGGAAUAGAUGCACAAAUAGAAAUUGGAGGCUAGGGUUGCAGGGCUGGGUCCCUUCGGAACUCCUUCCAAGAACGCUUCUUUAUCGGUCUUUCCUCUUCGAUUCGCCGAGAGCCAUGAAUACUCUUCUUCUCCGGCCCUUCUCCUCCCCUCCCCGGCUACUUUGUUCUUCGUCCCGGCGAGGUACGUGCUUCGAACUGAGGGAUUUGAGGGGAAGAAGCGUUCUUUCUUGUAAAAAUGCCUAGAUUGAUAAGAAGGUGGGGGAACGUUCAUAGGGGAAACGAUGGCGAAAAGGGAGUAGACAUAUCGAGAAGAGGGUGAAGCAAUUGGAGCGGCGUGGCUAUUCCAGGGUUUCGAUUCGGAGGAUAUCUGCCGUUUCGUAUGGAAUACCACGACAUCUUUAAACUGUCUAGCUAAAGAUAGUUUUCUUUUUCUUUAAGUCUCAAAAAAGAGAGGUCUUUUAGGGAAUAUGUAUCAUGGAGCCUCAGAGAUUUGAAUAUGUGGUUUGUGGUAGGCAUUAAAAGAAUGAUUAUCUUGCUUUCUUUCUUUAAAUGUGUAGAUGCGUAGAAAGCAUGUAUAACUGCUAAUCUAUUCCAUGCUGAUUGGAACUGAUGCAGACAAUGUUUUGUUCCUUCAAUCGAAGUGGAAAACCAUCUUUGAAAUGUUACGUGAUUGCAAGUAUUGAUAACCGGCAGCCUUAAACAUUUAGACUUCUAACAAAAUUCCUGGGUCAAAAUUGGACUCAGAGUUUGCAAAAAUAUUCCCCAUGCAUUUCCUAUAAUAGCUGACCAUUAAUAGUUGUCUUGCGAAUCUUAAUCCAUAUUGGACUAAUAUAAAGUGGUCAACAAUAACAAAGGAACUGCUAAUUUGAUGUGACAUAUAUUUGAAGCUUUUUCAGAGCUAAAAGAACACGAGCAUUUCUGGCUAAAGUUGACCUAAAGACUUGUAUUUAUGAAGAAUUCUCUGAGGAUCCAACCCUAAAAUUUCAGUUGAAGGCCUCAUUUGGAAAACCUCUAAGGGUCAAUUUGCAUCUAACAAGGAGCUAGUAGAGUAUUCAUUGACAUGAACAGCCCAUGCAACUCGGGCAUUACGGUAGAAUUACUACACAUGCUAGGCCAAUGUGAAGCUGUGCUAUCAGGUUUACAUCCUUGUUUGAGUGCCUAUCUGAGCUUGCCAAGUUUAAAAGGGAAAAAGAAAAUGCUUGGACUGGCCCACCAAUUAACUUUCCUGUACAUCUGUAAAAACGAGAAAAAGAUUCACCUCUUUUCACAAAGUUCUAUAAGGAGUAAAGAGAUACUAAACUUUGUUUGAGCUCAUUCAUUUUAUCUGAGGGGGGCUUAUUUCCUUUUUAUUUAAAUUUUUACAUGUCUUAAUAUUUUCGAGGGAGUUAAGUGGAACUUAUUGCAUUACUGAGGCAAGGUUGUGUUUCAUUCUCAUAGGCUCUGUUGCACGUAGAAGUGAUAUUUGAAUAUGAUAAUUCAUAUGUGAACAUGGCCUUUGCUCUACAUGUUAUUAGUUGAAUCUACAGAUUAUCUUAUUUGUCUGGACAGAUUGGAACUGACAUGCGACUAUGGAGAGAAGAGGGAGAUAAUGGGUCUUCCCGCAGAUUUUAGGUUUAGCAAGCAGUGAUGAGAAACAGAUUUAAGGUUUUAGGAAUAAUAAAAAGGGAUAUAAAAUGUUGUUUAAGCGAUUUGUAAUCUGAUAUGUCUUACCUGGCAGGCUUCUGCAAUUUAUCAAUUGGUUUUCAGUGAUUCUGGUGGAGGCAUAGGGUGGGGACAGUGCUAGAUAUGCCAUGGUACCCAAUGGAUGACAAGACUUCUAGAGUUCUCAAGGAACCAAAGUAGUGCCUGACAUGUUUAUUACAGAUUUAAGCUUGUUAUUGGCCCCAGAAAAUAAAAUAGGAUAGCAGAAAGAAUGGUAGAAUGGUAGAGAGAGGAUUUAGAGAAGAGAGAAGCAAAAAUAAAGAAAGAAAAUAAGAGAACGGAAGGGUGAAAAACCAAACCUUGCCCUAUGAUUUCUUUCAAUCAAAUCAACUGAAAAAAAAGGAAACAAAUCAACCUUAAAAAGAGAUGAUCACAAGCUGAAUACCCUAACAAAUUUAAUCUUGUCCUUUGAAUUAAAAUAAGAGACCCUAAAAGACACAGCAGACCAAUAUUUUAUUGCUAAACUUCCCUGAACCGUUUCCUGCUGCAGUACCAUGAAUAGUACUCAUUACAUUAUGGUACAGUUAUCUGACACCAGAGACUUCAUAAGCAUCACUAUACUCUUCCUGAAAAUGUGGAUGCUGGAUCUUUAAACUAGUGAUCGUUUGGGCUGCUAGUUGGAAAUUAGAGCUCUGAUGAAUUCUGAUGUUGUGCCUGUGACUUGGAUAUGAACCAAAGAAUGGUUCUCCAUCAAUAUUUUUGUUAAAUUAAUUAGGUAAGACUUUUCUUUCAUUAUGUACUUAAGGGGAAAUUAGUUCUCAGUUUUGUUUUGACUGCUAUUUAACAAUGAAAGCCUGCCCAUGUUUUGUUUUAGUCCCUGCUGUGUAGUGUGUGAUAACCAUCCCCGUUUCUAGGAGAAAUGGGGGGAGGCCAUCACACCAAAAGGCAGGCGUUUGCGUUGCCUGAUGGUGGGCGGUUACAACCGGCCGCCUUCCCUAGCGAUCAGAGGCUACAAGAAGCCCGAUCCGUGCGACAUUUCACCACCCUCCUCCCUCUGUUUCUCCUCCAUUGUCUCUCUCUGUCUCACAACUCUUCUUGUUGGACAAGAUCUGGUGUUAGACCUGUGCCGCCGGAGCUGAAGGCCGCAUUGCCGGAGUAGGAGACGAACGAUCCCCUUCAGGUAAUUGAAGAAUUGACACCUAAACCUAGGAAUUGGUGAGCAAAUUAAUGUAAGAAUGCUGCCUUCCUGAUUUAUGUAGGUUUUGGGCCAUGUGGUCCUUGCUUCAGUCCUCUGGAAUCAUUCUAGAUCUCUGGACUUGAUGAGUAAAGCUGCAGCAACAUCCUUUUACGUGCUUAUUUGGAAGCUCUUUUAUGCUGAGUACUUGCACAUUCCACUCGUGAGGUGAAAGCGAAAGUAUAAAGUGGAUAAAUAAGCAGGAUCAGCUUUUUGUGAAUGCAAGGUUCUCAAUUGCCCAGGUUUUUCAUUUCUUGAUCUACUUAUAUCUGCCCUAGCAAUGGCCAUCAGGCUGUUCGUUUUUUUUUUUAGGUUGUUUUUCUUUUUCUGUUCCAUCACACAAGUCAAUGUAGUAACCUGUCUGUGGAUAAUAUUUUGGAGUGUAGGCGUAUAGCUGUUUCUUGUUAAUUUCAUAUGGUAGGAAAAAUUCUAUGUGAAUUAUGAUUUCAAUAUUUUAUUUAUGUUUAUUUGAGAAUGAA